UGCAAGUCGAACGGAGAUGUUUAUUUCGGUAGAUAUCUUAGUGGCGCACGGGUGAGUAACGCGUGAAUAACCUGACCCGAAGAGGGGGAUAACACCUGGAAACAAGUGCUAAUACCGCAUAAGACCACGGACCGGCAUCGGUCAGAGGUCAAAGGAGAAAUCCGCUUUGGGAGGGGUUCGCGUCCCAUUAGGUAGUUGGUGAGGUAACGGCCCACCAAGCCGACGAUGGGUAGCCGAGCUGAGAGGCUGAUCGGCCACACUGGAACUGAGACACGGUCCAAACUCC
rnacentral:rRNA from 1 species